ACUCCUACGGGAGGCAGCAGUGGGGAAUAUUGGACAAUGGGGGCAACCCUGAUCCAGCAAUGCCGCGUGCGUGAAGAAGGCCUGAGGGUUGUAAAGCACUUUCAAUCGUGAAGAAGGGUAUCAAUUUAAUAAAUUGGUACAUUGACGUUAACGAUAGAAGAAGCACCGGCUAACUCUGUGCCUGCAGCCGCGGUAAUACAGAGGGUGCAAGCGUUAAUCGGAAUUACUGGGCGUAAAGCGCGCGUAGGUGGUUUGAUAAGUUGGAUGUGAAAUCCCCGGGCUUAACCUGGGUCGGUCAUUCAAAACUGUCAGACUAGAGUAUGGUAGAGGGUAGUGGAAUUUCUAGUGUAGCGGUGAAAUGCGUAGAUAUUAGAAGGAACACCAGUGGCGAAGGCGACUGCCUGGACUGAUACUGACACUGAGGUGCGAAAGCGUGGGUAGCGAACAGGAUUAGAUACCCUGGUAGUCCACGCCGUAAACGAUGACAACUAGACGUUGGGUCCCUUAGAGGAUUUAGUGUCGAAGCUAACGCGUUAAGUUGUCCGCCUGGGGAGUACGGUCGCAAGAUUAAAACUCAAAGGAAUUGACGGGGGCCCGCACAAGCGGUGGAGCAUGUGGUUUAAUUCGAUGCAACGCGAAGAACCUUACCAUCCCUUGACAUCCAGAGAAUCUGUUAGAGAUAGUAGAGUGCCUUCGGGAACUCUGAGACAGGUGCUGCAUGGCUGUCGUCAGCUCGUGUCGUGAGAUGUUGGGUUAAGUCCCGCAACGAGCGCAACCCUUAUCUUUAGUUGCCAGCACGUAAUGGUGGGAACUCUAAGGAGACUGCCGGUGAUAAACCGGAGGAAGGUGGGGAUGACGUCAAGUCAUCAUGGCCCCUUAUGGGCUGGGCUACACACGUGCUACAAUGGUCGGUACAGUGAGACGCGAUACCGCCGAGGUGGAGCAAAAUCCUAUAAAACCCUGGUC
rnacentral:rRNA from 1 species